UAGACCCCCCACAACAUUUUGGCUUUACCUUAUCCCAGCUCUCAGCUACACAACAGCUGUGCAUUUUAAAGGAGAGACGAUGACUGAAUGAGCCAGUCUGUGACUCAGGGAGAGGCAGCAUCAAGAUACAGCAAGAGGUAACGAGAGUGAAGCAAGGUCAGAAAAAACAAGUCAGUGCUGGAGAUGAGAGGAAGGAGAGGAACAAAAGCAAGCAAAACCUACACACAGAAAAUAAAGGAACAUCCCACAAAAUCAUGGCAUUUACAGUCCCAACCCUCAAGAAGAGCAGCUGUGACCUUUUUUUUAA
rnacentral:lncRNA from 1 species